rnacentral:lncRNA from 1 species
AUGCCCAACUCCCAAAUGCUCUGUGGUGGACCUUCUCUUCAAGACGUCUGGCAUAGGGGAAGUAAAAUUCGAAACACGCAUCUUGGCGGGAUACUUAUAAGUAUCCACUGUCUCCAAGUCACAAAAGUGAGAUCCGGGGGAACACGAAGCCAGCAUCGAACCAAGGCCAUCGAGCGUGGGACACCCAGAGCUCAUCCUUCACCAGGAAAAGGGACCGUAACAGGCCCGAGAUUGGCCAAGCAAAACAGCCCCGAAGAGAAGACCCACAGCCGCGAUGCUCCGACCGACCCGUGCUCUGCUGGAGAAAGCCAGCGUCCAGCUCGUCCUCCAUCGGUCAACCGAGGAACCGCAUCCAGCUCACAAGGGCGCCGCGUGGUUCCCACCGGUUCCUGCAGCACGUGGACGUUCGCGCCCGGCGAGAGGGCCGCCCGGCAGCUGGCCAGCCGGAUCCGGCGUGCGCAGGGAAGCCAGUCCUCUGCGCCCGGCUCCGUGCUCCUCCCCGCAUCUCAACAAGCUUCUGUCGCUCACCUUUUCCCCAAUGUAGAGCCUCAUAUUUACUAUAGUAUUUCUUUAUUUAUUAGAAACUUGUUUUGUUUUACGAUGAUUUCUUUUGUGCGUGCUCUGGUUCCCAGGCUGCGUGGGUUUUGAAUGGUCUGCCCCUGGCCCUCUUUUUCCCAUCAGCCCUGCUCCUUUCAAGAUCCCGCACUGUACCACACCUGAAGAGCCCUAUUCAUAAUUUUAAGAAAAGACAAAACCAUUCAAAUUAAACUCAAAGGCAACUGUGUACAUAAAAAAGGCAUUGGAAAAAAAAAAAACUUUUUGGACUCCUGGGCUAAUUUAGGAUGGGUUACUGGUGAUUGAUGUUGUAAGUGAAACUAUGGCGUGUGUCAUUCUCCUGUAUCUGAACAUUCCUCAGCUAUUCCUACUGACCCUGCUGACAAAUGUGGCUGCAAACACUCACACUACCCACAACCACUAACGCUACGACUGAUCACCUGAUCCGGAGGCCAUACAAGUCCAGCAGGAGGUAAAGGCCUUACAAGGCCUGUGCUGUCCCCGAGUGGCCCUCGGACCAACCCCAUCCUCAGAACCCCAAGGAAAGAG